GGACGAACGCUGGCGGCGUGCCUAAUACAUGCAAGUAGAACGCUGAAGAGAGGAGCUUGCUCUUCUUGGAUGAGUUGCGAACGGGUGAGUAACGCGUAGGUAACCUGCCUGGUAGCGGGGGAUAACUAUUGGAAACGAUAGCUAAUACCGCAUAAAAUGGAUUAUCGCAUGAUAAUCCAUUGAAAGGUGCAAAUGCAUCACUACCAGAUGGACCUGCGUUGUAUUAGCUAGUUGGUGGGGUAACGGCUCACCAAGGCGACGAUACAUAGCCGACCUGAGAGGGUGAUCGGCCACACUGGGACUGAGACACGGCCCAGACUCCUACGGGAGGCAGCAGUAGGGAAUCUUCGGCAAUGGACGGAAGUCUGACCGAGCAACGCCGCGUGAGUGAAGAAGGUUUUCGGAUCGUAAAGCUCUGUUGUAAGAGAAGAACGAGUGUGAGAGUGGAAAGUUCACACUGUGACGGUAUCUUACCAGAAAGGGACGGCUAACUACGUG
rnacentral:rRNA from 1 species